rnacentral:rRNA from 1 species
CUUCCUACGGGAGGCAGCAGUGAGGAAUAUUGGUCAAUGGGCGGAAGCCUGAACCAGCCAAGUCGCGUGAGGGACUAAGGCCCUGCGGGUCGUAAACCUCUUUUGCCGGGGAGCAGUGGUCCGGACGCGUCCGGACCGGGAGAGUACCCGGAGAAAAAGCAUCGGCUAACUACGUGCCAGCAGCCGCGGUAAUACGUAGGGAGCGAGCGUUGUCCGGAAUUACUGGGUGUAAAGGGAGCGU